CAAGGCCGCUCCGGGAGUGCAACCUAACAGCGCUCCGCUGUAGUUAACACGGUGCAGCUGGGCUCCAGGAGGCAGUUUGUACAGGCGGACACGAAUUUGACAAAAUUUACACAGAAGUAACGAAACCCGGUGAUGCCCUCUGUUAGACAACGAGGUUCCUUGGAGAGGAAAACCCCUAACAACGAGUAAGAGAAGAGUUUCUCGUUCUCAGAUUUCAUUCUCCACCGAACAGGAUAAAACAGGUUCCUACCAUGAGGGAGACGGUGGUUUGUAAGGAGAGGAUCACAGCUUCUUACUGUGGGAGAACUGAAGCAA